CCUUCAAAAAUCUCUUCCCCUGGAGAUUCCCUCAGGAACUCGGCCCCUUUUGUGUUACACACCUAAUCCCCCUGCAUAAACACUGUAUAU